rnacentral:rRNA from 1 species
UGGGGAAUUUUGGACAAUGGGGGAAACCCUGAUCCAGCCAUCCCGCGUGUGCGAUGAAGGCCUUCGGGUUGUAAAGCACUUUUGGCAGGAAAGAAACGCCAGGGGUAAAUACCCGGUGAAACUAACGGAACUUGCAGAAUAAGCACCGGCAAACAACGUGCCAGCAGCCGCGGUAAUACGUAGGGUGCAAGCGUUAAUCGGAAUUACUGGGCGUAAAGCGUGCGCAGGCGGUUCGGAAAGAAAGAUGUGAAAUCCCAGAGCUCAACUUUGGAACUGCAUUUUUAACUACCGGGCUAGAGUGUGUCAGAGGGAGGUGGAAUUCCGCGUGUAGCAGUGAAAUGCGUAGAUAUGCGGAGGAACACCGAUGGCGAAGGCAGCCUCCUGGGAUAACACUGACGCUCAUGCACGAAAGCGUGGGGAGCAAACAGG